rnacentral:rRNA from 1 species
GACGAACGCUGGCGGCGUGCUUAACACAUGCAAGUCGAACGGAAAGGCCCUGCUUUUGUGGGGUGCUCGAGUGGCGAACGGGUGAGUAACACGUGAGUAACCUGCCCUUGACUUUGGGAUAACUUCAGGAAACUGGGGCUAAUACCGGAUAGGAGCUCCUGCUGCAUGGUGGGGGUUGGAAAGUUUCGGCGGUUGGGGAUGGACUCGCGGCUUAUCAGCUUGUUGGUUGGGUAGUGGCUUACCAAGGCUUUGACGGGUAGCCGGCCUGAGAGGGUGACCGGCCACAUUGGGACUGAGAGACGGCCCAGACUCCUACGGGAGGCAGCAGUGGGGAAUAUUGCACAAUGGGCGGAAGACUGAUGCAGCAACGCCGCGUGCGGGAUGACGGCCUUCGGGUUGUAAACCGCUUUCGCCUGUGACGAAGCGUGAGUGACGGUAAUGGGUAAAGAAGCACCGGCUAACUACGU